AAUUGCAAUAUAAUGUCCAAAAUACCCUCACCGCAGCUGUUAAUGCUCACACAACACUAUUGUUUCAUCGUCUGAGACAUCAAGCAGAACCUAAGGGUAGCACUGGAAUAACAAAUAGUAUUAACUCGCAGAUUUAGCACUCUGUUCGGUUAAAAACAAAAUAAAGAGGCUUUUGCUCUCAGAGAAGGGGAUGGGUGUUUUUAUAGAGUGGUUGCCUCCCUUCUCUGAACUGUCGCCGGAGCCGGUGAUUUGUAAAUAUCCGCCGAUCUUUUUAAUCAAACAAACCGCUCUAUGUAUGCAUUUGUAUGUAUGUGCAUAUAUAUAUAUAUAUAUAUAUCUAUCUUAAUUGGGCGGAGGGAGUAUUAUUAAAUCUGAGAUGCAUCACCAAUUAGGGAUUCAGCGCUCUGUUCGGUUGAAAAGAAAGAGUCAGAGAAGUGGAUGGGUGUUUUUGUAGAGUGGUUGCUUCCCUUCUCUGAACUGCUGCCGGAGCCAAUGAUUUCGGUAACCGCCCAUCUCUAAUCAGACUUGAAGAGACAUCUGUGGACUUCAUGGCUAGGUAAUCUUUUAUGGCUAUCAUGGAAGUGGUGGUGAUCCCAUUGCUUUCUUGGCCCGCUGUGAAACAAUUGCUGCCUUGAUAACAUAGUGCUUCUUUUCAUUGUCUGGUAUGUUAAGGCAAAUCUGAGCCUCUCUUUACUCUCACUUAUGUUGGAAAUAGAGAGUGGUUCGACUCCUCCUUGAUAGGUAGCGGAAUGACCUCUAUAUAAUCUUCAUGUUUUAUUUUUUAAAUAUACUAUUCAGGGGCUGUGAUGGUAUGCUCUGCGUGCUAUAAUGAGACUUUAAAAACAUUUGCUUGUUUUAAUGGCCGGACAGAUAAUGUUUCUUUUUCACUCUGGAUUGUUAUAUAUAAUUUGGUGAAUACACAUUUGAGCCUCAUUUCCUAACUAAGUUUAAUAUCUCAUUUUGGGAUUUGUUCUUAGAGCGGUAUGGUGGUUGCCUCCGUUUUAUGAACAGUGUGUGAAGCCAUGAAAUUUAGUAGCUAAGGAAUUAGUAUAAAUAUCCACUUUAAUCAGAGGACUACAAAUAGGUAACAGUAAGAUAGGGAUUAAACUUAAGAUAUCAGUACCUCUGUAAAUAAAUAGUGUUAUAUGGGGAGAUGUUUGGUUUAUUUGUUUAAAGAAUGCAGUCUCUCUCUUGGAGAGAGAUGGAAUCAUGGAAAGGGUUCUAAGGGUGGUUGCCUCCCACUCUCUGAUUGCUAGUGGAGCCUAUGAUUUUCCGGUAUACCACCCGUCUGUAUUUUUGUCAAGACAAAAUAUAUGUAUAUGUGCACAAAUUUGGAAGGUACUGGUAAUUUAUCACUUUUGUAUUGCAUAUGAUGGGAGCUAUGAUAAUAUAUACUGUGGCUGAGUGUCUCAUUUAUCAGACUUGAGCGGAUAUAGGUGGUUCUCACUGCAGGUAUUAUAUUUUAUUGGUAAUUUAGAUACAAUGGUUGAUUUCUUUCCCUCUUCAUUUCUUGCACCCGUGAUAUAUUGCAAUACUCUGUUUCUUAGCUGAUUUUUGAGAGAAUACUUGCACAGAUGUAAUGAUUCGAUAGAUUGCUUGUGCUUAUAUAUAUGUUUAUGUAGCAUGUGCUUUUGAUUCAUCAGGUCCCUGCCUCUCUUCUUUGAAUGCCUGUGGAGCCAAUAAUUUAGCAAGUUGUUUUUGUCUUUUAUAUGUGUUUCAUUUCAAUGAUUAGGGUGAACUGAACUACUAUUACUUGAAUCUAUGCUGAUACUUUUAGUGUGCCAAAAUGUUCACUUAUGACGGAUUUAAUUUGAGGUAGGGAAUGGGAAUGAGCAUUAUCAUUGAUUAAAAAUUAAUGAAUGCUAGUUAUAUUGGUUUGUUGGGGAAAUGUAGUGAUUAGUCCUCUUUCUUAUGGACUCCCUCUUUUGCAGCCAUGUCUAAUCUUGUGUAUAUUGUUUGUAUGAUUAAGGCGAAUCUUAGCCGCGUCAUUUUCUUUUUCCAUAGUUUCUUUGUAUACGUUUUGGCAAUCUUUCUGUAGUCAUGUAAAUGGUGGUUUUGCCAUGAGUUUCUUUGAAGCAGGGACCCAAAGAACAAGCUGCUGCUUCAAAUGGCCAAAAGAAAGGAUUAUUUGUGAUAUCUUGGUGGCCUCCAUUACAGCAUCAAGUUUUACAUUGGGAUGAAAACGAAGUUGGAGCUCGCACACAUUUAUUGGAAGUUAUGAUAUUGGUAAUGAUUUAUGCAUCAGAAAUUGAUUGAAGUAGGUGGUGCUGAUUUAUUCUGACAGUUUGCUAGUUAUUGGACUUUUAAUUUAAUUGGAAUGAAUGAUUAUCAAAUUUGUAUUAAUUACAAUGCUUUUUCAUCUAUUAAUGGGUUUUAGUUUGCUGUUUAUAUAAUUCUCGAUUACAUGAAUAAAUAAAAGAUAGUCAUUAUUGAUUACGCAGGCAAGUUUGCCCGCAUGCCUGAGAUCAAUGUUGCUUGAUGUACACACUUAAGAAAACAAUUAACCGAGCUUGUUUGCCUCAGUACCUAGCUCUGGUUAAUAAUUUCAAUUUUACAAACACAACUAGAAAAUUUACCGUAUAAAAUACCCUCAUACUAGGAUGUUUCAUUGCAUAACACUGACCAAACCCAGCACCACAACCCGUACGACACAAAAGUUGACGGGCGGUGUAAUGGGAUCAUUACUUCAUAAUGGUUUUCUUAGCCAGUGGCCUGGUCCCACUCUUCUGUCUUGUCUUUCCUGCCUUUGCGUCGGCCUAUGUGUUAAUAUUUUCUGUCGGGCUGUUCUCACUGCUCGCAUAAGUUUUGGAAGGACUCGCUAGGGGAGAUCAUCACCUCGCUGUUCGGUCCGAAAACGCAUCACUAUUCCUGCUGUCAUUUCAGAUACUUCCUGGGAAUAUUAUAAUUGGAUUGUCGUUUGUUUUUCUGCGGGUUAGAGCGCCGGUGCUGUUGCUUCAUACAUUUAGAGGGAUCUUUGUUAUUCUUGAUUGGAUGCAAGGUGUGGAUUAGUAUGACUUUGCCGGCUAAUGUACAUGCUACGGACAUUGCUUGGGAUUGGUUUGGAAGGAGCCUAGCAGUACAAUCUGUUAAUACUUUUCAAUCAAUCUUUUUGGGUUUUUGAUUCCUCAUUUCUUGCGGGCAUUCGAGAAGUAUUCUCAGGAGAGAGGAAAUUGACUCGAAGAUGGCAGAGGAUAAACGUUCUUCUUUCGCUAACAGAGCUCAAUCGGAAGAUAAGAAAUCUGUUUAGUCGAUUGUGUUUAUCAGGACUUUCAUACAGCUGAAUUUGUGUUUGAGAAGAUGUAUUUGUUCGGAGUGUGUGCAAGUUUUACGUUGAUCUUCAAGUGUUGUGUUGAGUCGAUGUUUCAGAAUUUAGUUCUAUUACAGAUUCUGAUAUUCAUAAGGACAGCUCUUCGCAUUUCUUGAACAAAAUAAAAAAUCUGUUUGCAUAAUUCUUGAUUACACCAUGGAUGACAAAAUCAAAGCAUCCUGCCACUGUCAGCAAAACUACUACAAAGUAGUCAAACAGAGAUCCAUGUGUUCACUAUAAAUUCACGCAUGAUGUACACGUGUAUGGAUGAAAACAAUAUUGGCGGGUUAAUUAUUUUUAUUUACAUAAUUACCCUUCAGUAUUUCCACUUCUAGAAACACAAUUAGAGAUAUACUGUCUAAAUACCCAUACUCAGUUCAGUUGUUUGAUUGUCUGGGACAUGAAGCAAAGUCUAAGGGUAAUACUGGAAUAACAAAAUAGUAUAAAAUCAUAGCUGCACCUGCAGCUAGCAAUUUAGCACUGUGUUUAGUAAGAAAGAAAGAGGCUUUGCUCUCAGAGAAGGAAUGGGUUGCCUCCCUUCUCUGAACCGUUGCCGGAGCCGAUGAUUUCUAAACAUCCGCCGAUCUCUGUAAAACUUCUCUCUCUCUCUCUCUCUCUAUAUAUAUAUAUAUAUAUAUAUAUAUAUAUAUAUGUAUCUAUGUGCCCUUGUCUCUUGUAAGCUCUUAAUGAUUCUAGCUGCUUUAUUAUGAAGAGGCUUUGCUCUCAGAGAAGUAGAUGGGUGUUCUUGUAGAGUGGUUGCCUCUCUUCUCUGAACUGUUGCCGGAGCUGAUGAUUUCUAAACAUCCGUCAAUCUCUUUAAACGAAGAAACCACUCUUCCUGUGCACAUACACAUACAUAUAUCUGUCUGCCUGUCCCUCAAUUUAUAUCUUUCUCUGCUGCUGCUUAUACUGAAACCCCAUAAACAUAAAGAGGCUGUGAUGAUAUGAAUUCAUUUGUUUUUAGAGUGAAACUAUCAGAUGUUGAAAUUAAUGCUUUGGCUGUUUUGGCAGGGUAAUCUUGAGCUCUCUUCUUGCAGAGAGCUUCUUGAUUGCAGCCCCAGCCUUUGUGUUCUUUUUAAGGUGCAUUUGAUCUGAGCCUCUCCUUUGCUAUUUGUUCACAUUCUUUCAACUUGAUUUGUGGUGAUUAUUAAACUGUUUGCGGCAAGAGGGAGAGAUUUGGAUAAAAUUGUCUAAUUGCUUUAAGAAUGAGGCUUUGCUCUCAGAGAGAGAUGGGAAGGGUUCCAAGGGUGGUUGACUUCUCCUCUCUGAUAGAUAGCGAAGCUGAUGAUUUCAUUUUGUGUCAUAACUUCCCAACAACCCUUUCAAAGAACAAGAAAGAAAAAGAAAAAGAAAAAUAAGUGAUGUAAAUGACAUUAGAAAACUAAAUCUCUCCCUCAGCAAGGCUAUGAUGAUAUGCUGUUUGUGACUUGAAGAAAAUUCCAUUGUCAUGAUGGCUUGCUAAUCCGUUUCUUGGCCUUCCUCGAAAGGAUUUCAGCUGUGAUUACAGUGUUUCUUUUUGAAGUUUCAUAUGCAAAGGCAAAUCUGAGUCUCCUCCUCAUUUUUAUCAAACAAGCCGAGAAAGGUAUGUUAAUGCCUUCAUACUAAAGGCACUAUUGAUAUUUCGGGGAGUUCUUCUGUCAUUAGUUUAAGAAUGAGGCUUUGCUCUUAGAGAUGGGAUUGGUUUCUAAGGGUGGUUGACUCCCAAUCUCUGAUAGUUCGCGAAGCUGAUGAUUUCAUUUUUCCCAUUCAUAUUACCAACAACCCUUUCACAGAAUAAACAAACAAACCAAACAAUAAGCAAAUAAAUAAAUUAUGAUUACAUGAGCAGCUAGUGAUUUAGCACUCUCUUUGGUAAAAAGAGAAGAAGGUUUGCUCUUAGAGAACGGGAUGGGUGUUCUUGGACAGUGGUUUCCUCCCUUCUCUGAACCGUUGCCGGAACCGAUGACUUCAUAACAUCCGCCAUUCUUUUUAAAUGAAAAAACUGCUCUACAUAUGCAUUUUUAUGGGACUGAGGGAGUAUAUAAAAUCUGAGAUACUUCGGCAAUUAGGUAUUCAGCACUCUGUAUGGUUAGAAAGAAAGAGGUUUGGCUCUCACAGAAGUGGACGGGUGUUCUUUUCGGGUGGUUGCCUUGCUUCUCUGAACUGUUGCUGGACUGAUGAUUUCUAAUCAUCUGCCGAUCUUUUAAAAGGAAGAAAUCACUCUACUUGUGAACAUGUUCAAAAAUGACCUUAAUGUUUGACAUCGCAUUUUUGUAAAACCUUAAUGAUUUUUUAGCUGUUUAUAUGAAGAGGCUGUGAUGAUAUGUACUCGUUGCUUUUCAGAGUGCACAUAUUAGAUGUUGAAAAUAAUGCUUUUGGCUGUUUUGGCAGGGUAAUCUAGAGCUUCUUUGUUAUAGAGAGCUUCUUGAUUGCAGCCACUGCCUUUUCUGCUCUUAUUUUUCAUGUCUUAUUGUUUAAUAAUGCGGAUUUGAUCGGAGCCUCCUUCGAUUUAUUUCGAACAAUGGAUCAUUUUACCCUUCAACUUGUCACUGAAGAUCAACAAUCCGAAGAGUGCACAAAUCAGAUGCUGAAAAUAAUGCUUUUGGUUGUUUGACAGGGUAGUCUAGAGAUUCUCUCUUGCAGAGAGCUUCUUGAUUGCAGCCACAGCCUUUUGUGUUCUUUUUCUUUUCAUGUCUGAUUAUUUAAGACGGAUUUAAUCCUGGCCUCCAUCAUUUUCUUUCUCUUUUCUGGUUUUUAGUUAUCGGUGCUUUAUUGGUGGUGGUGGUGGUGAUUGUAUGGGGCAAGCGGGAGAGUUUUGGAUAAAAUGUCGUCUGAUUGCUUUACAAAUGAGGCUUUGCUCUCAGAGAGAUGAGAAGGGUUCUAAGGGUGGUUGACUUCUCCUCUCUGAUAGACUUCAAAGCUGAUGAUUUCAUUAUCUCAAGGAGAGAUUUGAUAUGCUUCCAACAACCCUUUCAAAGAAGAAAAAAAGAGAGAAAAGAAGAAGAAGAAGAAGAAGAAGAAGAAAAAUGAUAUAUAUGACAUUAAUCUCUCCCUCGUCAAGGCUGUGAUGACAUGCUAUUUGUUACUUGAAAAGAAAAUCCAUUGUUGUUAUGGCUUGCUAAUCUUUUCGCGGCCAUGGAGAUGGUGUUCUGACCAUCUGUUUCCUGGCCUCCUCGAAAGGAUUGCAGCUGUGAUAACAUUGUUUCUUUUCGAAGUCUCAUAUGCAAAGGCAAAUCUGAGUCUCCUUCUCAUAGACAAAGGCACCAAUUGAUAUUUUGGGAAGUUCUUCUAUCAUUAUUUAAGAAUGAAGCUUUGCUCUUAGAGUUGGGAAAGAUUUUUAAGGGUGGUUGACUUCCAAUCUCUGAUAGUUAGCGAAGCUGAUGAUUUUCAUUUCUCUCGUUCACAUUAACAACAACCCUUUCAGGGAACAAGCAAACAAAUAAAUUCCUCUUUUUUCUAAGAAUGAGGGUUUGCUCUCAGUGAGAGAGAGAGAGAGAGAGAGAGAGCACCUGUUGUUAAAUUUGACUUGCAGUCUCUGAGUACUAAGACGUGUUUCUACUCUCUCUCUCUCUCUGAAUGAUUGCGGAGCCGAUGAUUUAUGUUCGGGAAAAGGUUCGAAUUGAGGAUGUGAUUCUUCUAUCUACAUAUUUUUUGUUCAUUCAAUAAUUAUAAUAAUAAUAAUAAUAAUAAUAAUAAUAAUAAUAAUAAUAAUGGUGAUGGUGGUGGUGAUGAUGACGACGACGAUGAGAUAAUGCCGGUUGGGGAGUUGUUGCAGCGGGCGAAAGAGAGAGAUUAAGAAUUGAGGCUUUGCUCUUAGAGGGAGAUGAGAAGGGUUUCAAGGGCGGUUGACUUCUUCUCUCUGAUAGUAGCGAAGCUGAUGAUUUUCACUAUCUUAGAAUGAGAUGGGUAGGUUAAUCAACAGCCCUUCUAUAGAGAGAAAACAUUGAAAGAAAUUAUAUAUAAUAAUGUCAAAAUCCAUCUCACUCUCUCUCUCUCUGGUUUGUUAGGGCUAUGAUGAUAAGUUGUGUUUGGAUAUUAGAUUAGAAGGAAAUAGAUUGUUAUCAUGGCGUGGUAUUCUUUUUCCAAAGAAUUGCAGCCUGAUAAUACAGUUUCCUUUUAGGCCUAAUAUACAAUGCUAAAUCCGAGCCUCCUCAAUUCUCUCAACAAAACAUUCCUCAAAGUAAAAGAAUGAGGCUUUGCUCUCGGAGAAGUGGAUGGGUUUUCUGGUAGGGAUCAUGUCCACCUUCUCUGAAUGGCUGCAGAUGAUUUCAAAGUCCCCCUGCUUGUUUAAUGAACCAAUUCAUCAAAUGGGCUCUUCUAUAAAUGGGCAUGCAUGCUUGACUUUUCUUUAUCAUUGAGGAGGGAUUGAACCCACGACCUUACUAGAAUUUUGCUCAGCGCACGUACCAUUUGAGCAUGUAGGUGCUCACAAUCCAGUGAAAUGGUGCUUCAACAAAGAGAACCACUCUUCAUGACCUCUGUGAGAAGGAGGGGUAAAGUCCACGGUAAUAACUCGCUGUUUUGUGCACAAAAAUCUAGCUGUCUUUCGCUCGGUGGGUGGCGGGCAAUAACAGCCGAGGGACUUAAAUGAGCUGAAAUAUACAAGCUGUGGGUGUUUGUGUUUGUUUUAGUUGAAAAUGACUUUUUGAAUAUUUUGUGCCAAGUUGAGGGGGUGAAUUGAUCCUUUGUUGAUAAAUAAAGCGUUCCAGAGACCGGGAGAUUCUGGCAUUUCAUUAGUUUAAGUAUGAGGCUUUGCUCUCAGAGAGAUAGGAUAAAGGUCUUAAGGAUUGCUAACUCCCACUCUCUGAUUGCUAGCGGAGCCUAUGAUUCAACCCAAAGAAAAAGUAAAAUGUUUAUUAUGAUAGGGGCUAUGAUGAUGCAUUAUUGUCUCAAAAUCAAGCAUGAAAAGGAACUACCGGUAUCAUGACGGCGGGGUAAUCUUUUGGCGGCAGGUACAGUGAGAUUGUUUAUUUUUGCUCUUCUGAUAUUCUGGCCAGCAGCCUUGAAGUUUUGCAGCCGCCUGAUACGGUAUUGUUUCUUCUUGACUGGUUUUCAAGACAAUAUUUCUGAGCCUUCUAUGUUCAAAUUCAUCUAUCUAUCUAUCUAUGGCGGAAUACUUCUAUUCACCUCUAUAUUUGAUCUCUUACACCUCAGUGACGCAUGGAGUACACGCGUCACCGAGGGAACCACCAGCUGCUUCCGCUUCAAUGACCAAAUAACCUCUCUGUGUCAGUCACCUCCAAUUUCCAAAGAAAGUUGCGAAUCGACUGAAGUGUGCUGAAAUGAGGGGAGUUUUUAUACUCUCUCUGAAUGAUUGUGAAGCCCCUUCGUUUAUGUUGGGGAAAAAGUUCAAAUUCAGGAUGUCAUCAUCCUAUCUGCAUUUGUUUUGCUCAAUCAAUCAAUAAUAAUGAUGAUGAUGAUAUGCCGGUGGGUGGUUGCUGCAGCGGGAGAAAGAGAGAUAUUAAGAAUUGAGGGUUUGCUCUCAGAGGGAUAUGAGAAAGGGUUUCAAGGGCGGUUGACUUCUCCUCUCUGAUUGGCAGCGAACCCGAUGAUUUUCAUUAUCUUAGAAAGAGACGGGUAGGUUAAUUAACAGCCCUUCUAUAGAGAGAAAACAUUGAGAGAAAUUAAUUAAUGUCAAAACCCAUCUCUCUUUCUCUCUGCUACUGCUAGGGCUAUGAUGAUAAGUUUUGUUUGGAUAUUAGGUUUCAAGGAAAUCGAUUGUUAUCAUGGCGUGCUAUCCUUUUUUUUCUUUUGAAAGAAUUGCAGCCUGAUAGCACAGUUUCCUUUCUACUCUAAUAUAUUAUGCUAAAUCUGAGCCUCCUCAAUUCUCUCAACAAAACAAUGAGGCUUUGCUCUCAGAGAAGUGGAUGACUUUUCUGGCAGGGAUCAUGCCGACCUUCUCUUGAUAAUGCGCAUAUAUAUACAUGUUUGCUGGUUAUUAAUUAAGGUGAUAGUAAUGAUUAAUGAAGAUUCAUUACAUUUCCAUUUUAUCUGCUGCUUUACUCUUCCGAUAACAAAUCAGUGAUAGAAGAGAUAGAUUGGCUAAUGUAUCUCCUGCCAAAUGUGAAAAUGGACCAAGUCAUGAUACCCUUCUUUUAUUCUGGACAUAGUUCAAAAUACAUUCUAAUACAUCUUUGUUACAACUCACAGGUGCUCACAAUCCAGUGCAACAAAGAGAACCACUCUUCUUGAUCUCUGUGAGAAGGAGGGGUAGAGUCCAUCGGAAUUACUCGCUGGUUUAUGCACAAAAAUCUAAGCUGACUUUCGCUCUGGUGGGGGUGGUGGGCAAUAACAGCUGAGGGACUUCAAUGAGCUGAAAUAUACAAGUUGUGGGUGUUUGUGUUUGUUUUAGUUGAAAAUGACUUUUUUGAUAUUGCGUGCCAAAUUGAGGGGGUGAAUUGAUCCUUUGUUCAUAAGUUCCACAGGCCGGGAGAUUCUGGCAUCUCAUUAGUUAAGUAUGAGGCUUUGCUCUCAGAGAGAUUGGAUAAGGGUCAUAAGGAUUGCUGACUCCCACUCUCUGAUUGCUAGUGGAGCCUAUGAUUCAACCCAAAGAAAAAGUAAAAUGUUUACUAUGAUAGGGGCUAUGAUGAUGCAUCAAGUGUCUCAAAAUCAAGCAUGAAAAGGAACUACCGUUAUCAUGGCGGAUGGGCAAUCUGUUGGCGGCAGGUACAGUGAGAUGGUUGAAUUUUGCUCUUCUAAUUUUCUGGCCAGCAGCCUUGAAGAUUUGCAGUCGCCUGAUACAGUAUUGUUUCUUCUUGCCUGGUUUUCAAGACAAUAUUUCUGAGCCUUCUAUGUUCAAAUUCAUCUAUCUAUCUAUGUUCAAAUCCAUAAUAGUAAUGGUGAUGGUGAUGAUGAUGACAACGACGAUGAUGAUAAUGCCAGUGGCUGGACUAGCAGCAACACGGAGUUGCAGCGGGAGAAAGAGAGAUUAAGAAUUGAGGCUUUGCUCUCAUUGGGAGAUGAGAAGGGUUUUAAGGGCGGUUGACUUCUUCUCUCUGAUUGGCAGCGAAGCUGAUGGUUUUCAUUAUCUUAGAAAGAGAUGGGGCUAUGAUGAUGAUAAGUUGUGUUUGGAUAUCAGAUUUGAAGGAAAUAGAUUGUUAUUAGGGCGUGGUAUUCUUUUUCCAAAGAAUUGCAGCCUGAUUAUACAGUUUUCUUUCUAGUCUAAUAUACAAGGCUAAAUCCAAGCCGCCUCAAUUCUGUCAACAAACUAAAAUUACACAAAGCAAAAGAAUGAGGCUUUGCUCUAAGAGAAGUGGAUUGGUUUUCCAGUAGGGUGGUUGCCGAUUAACCGAGUUCAUUAUUAUUAGAAGUUUAGUAUGAGCACAACUCGCUGGAAAAAUUUCUCGUCAUAUUAUUGAAGCUACCCUCAAAGUAUUUGCUAAGGCUCUUAGACAAGCAACAGAAUAUGACCCAUCGUCUUGGGACUGCACCUGGGUGGCAAGGUGCUCACAAUCCAGCGGAAAUGGUAGAUUAAUAAGGGAACCAUUCUUCAUGAUCUCUAUGCACAAAAAUCCAAGUUGCCUUUUGCUCAGUGCCUGGUGGGCAAAUUACAGCUGAGCAUUUUAAACGAGCUGAAAUAUACACAAGCUGUGGGUGUUUGUGUCUGUUUUUGUUGAAAAUGACAUUUUCUUAUUUUUCGUUCCAAGUUGAAGGGGUGAAUUGAUCCUUUGUUCACAAAUAAAUAGUUACACAGAUUGAGAUUCUGGCAUCUCAUCAGUUUAAGUAUGAGGCUUUGCUUUUAGAGGGUAGGAUAAGGGUUUUAAGGAUCGCUGACUCCCACUCUCUGAUUGCUAGCGGAGCCUAUGAUUCAACUUAAAGAAAAAGUAAAUUUUUUUAUUAUGAUAGGGGCUAUGAUGAUGCAUCAAGUGUCUCAAAAUCAAGCUUGAAAAGGAACUACAGUCAUCAUGGCGGCGGGGCAAUCUUUUGGUGGCAGGUACAGUGAGAUGGGUGAUUUUUGCUCUUCUGAUUUCCCGGCCAGCAGCCUUGAAGAUCUGCAGCCGCUUGAUACGGUGUUGUUUCUUCUUCUUUUCUGAUUUUCUGGACAGUAUUCUGAGCUUUCUAUCUCCAGAUCCAUCUAUCUAUCUAUCUAUUGAAGAAUACUUCUAUUUGGUUGACUUUUUUUUGGGUGGGACUUGGGUGUGCUAGACCAAAAGUUGUAGUGCAACAAUGGAGACACUUGUAAUUGGCUCCCCUCCAAAAAAAAAAAUAUUAAAAUGAUCCAGAUAUCAGAUAUUAAAUUGAUAAGAACUGAUACUACACUUGAUCUUAGCCAAAAGGCCGAGAAAGGUACAGCUGAGAUUGAUAUCUUUUAUCUUCACUACCAAGCUGAGGGGGUGCACUGAUCCUUUGUUCAAAUGCACAAACACUUUCUUUAGUAACACAUUAAAAAGAAAGAUAAAGCAAGAAAUGAGCGGAAACUAAAUUAAAUGAGGCUUUGCUCUCAGAUAAAGAGAGAAUAAGUGCGGGUAAUUUUCACCUGCAGUCCUUGAGUUCUAAGAUGUGUAUCUACUCUCUCUCUCUGAAUGAUUGUGGAGCCGGUGAUUUUAUGGUUGUCCUUUCUGUUUCCUCGUCAAGUUUAAGAAUUGAGGUUUUGCUCUCAGAGGGGGAUGCGAAGGGUUUCAAGGGCGGUUGACUUCUUCUCUUUGAUUUGCAGCGAAGCUGAUGAUUUUCAUUAUCUUAGAAAGAGAUGGGUAUGUUAAUCAACAGCCCUUUUAUAGAAAGCAAUCAUCAAAGCAACUACAUAUAUACAUACAUGAUAAUGUCAAAACCUAUCUCACUCGCUCUUUCUCUGAUCUGCUACGGCUAUGAUGAUAAUUUGUGUUUGGAUAUCAGAUUUGAAGGAAAUAGAUUGGUGUCGUGGCGUGGUAUUCUUUUCAAAGAAUUGCAGCCUGAUACCAUAGUUUUCUCUCUUGUCUAAUAUUCAAGGAUAAAUCUGAGCCGCCUUUCUGUAGAAGAAAUCAUACAUAAAAUCAAAACCCAUCUCACUCUUUUUUUCUCUGGUAGGGCUAUGAUUAUAAGUUUGUUUGGAUAUUUGAUAUGAAGGAAAUAGGUUGUUAUCAUGGCGUGGUAUUCUUUUUUGAAAGAAUUGCAGCCUGAUAACACAGUUUUCUUUCUAGCCUAAUAUACAGGGGUAAACCUGAGCCUCAGUUCUGUCAAAAUAAGUUUUCCAAAGCAAAAGACUGAGGCUUUGCUCUCGGAGAAGUUGAUGAGUCUUCUGGAAUGGUGGUUGCUGACCCUUAUCUGAUUGGCUGUGGAGCUGAUGAUUUUAAAAUUGCCCUGCUCUUUCAAUAAACCGAUUCAUCAAUAAAUGGCUCUUGGUGGUGAUGUUAAAUUUUGCUUCAUUGUGUCAAGAAGGAGGCUCUGGCUUCAUAGCAAGAUGGGAAGGGUGGUUACCUGUUCUUGCUGUAUAGUUAAGGGGUCAAAUUGGCACUUAACCCUUCAUAGAUUUAAAGGUUAAUCCGAGUCUCCUAUCUCUGUUCUUUAGCUACAUUUCUCAUUUUUAAGUUCUUUCCUAUUUAUUUAUCAAGUCUAUUUCUAUGAUCAAGUAAAUUAGUCAUCCAAGCUUUUGUUUGGGUUAAUAUGUUUUUAUUAUUUGAUUAUUGUCCAAUUAUAAUGUUACAAUUUUGAUAGUUGAAGAAGUCUGCCAAUGACUAUCAAUAGCUUUCAACUUUGAUA